UACGUAGGGGGCUAGCGUUGUUCGGAAUUACUGGGCGUAAAGCGCACGUAGGCGGUUUUUUAAGUCAGGGGUGAAAUCCUGGAGCUCAACUCUAGAACUGCCUUUGAUACUGAGGAUCUUGAGUUCGGGAGAGGUGAGUGGAACUGCGAGUGUAGAGGUGAAAUUCGUAGAUAUUCGCAAGAACACCAGUGGCGAAGGCGGCUCACUGGUCCGGUUCUGACGCUGAGGCGCGAAAGCGUGGGGAGCAAACAGG
rnacentral:rRNA from 1 species